ensembl:lncRNA
UCACCACUGAACUCACACCUGGAAGGGAUCACAGCUGAGAUGGGCUCCAGGGCCAAACUAUCUGGACUCAGGAUAUUGACAGGAUAUUUAAAACACGUCGGUACCAAGUCUGCUGCAGUGUUUGUUAUUUUAAUGAAUGGGAUUAAACCAGCGCAGGCACGCACGCACACACACACACGUAGACACACACACACACAUAAAAGCACGGAUACACACAGAUGUCAUGACAUGAACAUAGAACCCCCGUUAUCAGAGUCCAUUACAGCGAGGCACGUACGAAGAAAUACGACAAACUAGAUUAUAAUCUUUGACACGGCAUAUAUUUCAUUUUAACAUACAUUCAUACGCAGUAUAGUCUUCUUCAGUGUAUAAUUCUUUACAGAUCUAUGUUUCUAUAAUGAGUAGCAUGAUACUAUAGAGAAGCUUGGGUUUAUGGUGGUUGUACAUGUUGUCCAUACAUAGGUUUGUUCCUGUGUCCUGGCAGGGAACUACAUGGGGAUAUUCUGUGUGUGGCUAGUGUGUGUUUAGCGGGCUAUGUAUUUAGCAAGUGUUUGUGCGUGUGUGUGAUAAGGUGUAGCGACAGUAAUGUGUGUGUGGAGUCGUCAUGUGAACUGAAGAUGGUGCGUGUUAUGAUAUGUGCGCUUGGAGAGAAAAGUGCUCAUGUCAUCAUGUACAGCAUUCCUGCUCCACCCAACCCUGUAUAUGUAUGGACACACAGACCCCUUGGUCGUCUGGCACCAAGGCCGGGAUUCAAUCCAACUCUGGGUACUGAGUUCCUUCUUCUGAUUGAGUCAACGCACGCCGCGGUUUGCAUUAAUGGGACUUUCACCUUCAACACCUUAGCAUCAACACAUUCAGAGUGAAUCCCGGCCUGUGAGUGAUUCGGUGAGUAAUGUUCUGAGGCACUGAGUGACGGUGUGACAGUUGAUGAGUGGAGCAGUAUCUGGCUGUACAGGGACAAAUGGCCACACCACCACUGCUAACACAACAUGAUCAUGUACACCUGGACCGCUCAUCAUAAAGUCUGUCUGUCGGUCAGCGCUCCUCCUCUGGCGGGUGAAGUCUGUUCUUUCAGACCGACCGGCGCUUGUGUCUCCCCCUUUACAUCCAGACACUCCAGAUGAGUCCCUAAAGCAGCAGCAAAGAGGGAGGGCAC